rnacentral:lncRNA from 1 species
GCAUUAAAGUGAAAUAUAAGAAGAGGGAAUGGGUAUUAAAAGAGCUUAAGGAGGAGGGAAUGGUAGAGAUCAGAAGACCUUACUCCACAACAAUCCGAAAAGUGGAGAGAAGAAAGUUGAGCAAGUGGGACGAUGAAGAUCCUGGCAUGAAGAAGAAGAGUUGAUUUGCUGGAAAGCACUUUUUUGUAUUGUUGAACAAUUUUUUUUAUUUGGUUUUAUGUUUUUGUUGAACAUGUAAUUUUUGAAUUUUUGGAACAAUUUUUGGGUGGCAUCUACUGGGGGAUGCCAAAUUUUGUG